GAGACGAAUUUUCAAUAGACAACAAAAAAAUUAAUAUUACGUAUAUGAAUCACUAAUUAAGUCUAAAAGCAUUGAAGUGGCAAGAGUACACAAAUACCAUUGCUAGACAAACGAUAAUUUGUUUCCGUUAUACCGAUUAAUUUAACAUACCUUUCCAAUUAUUGUCUAUAUCACUUAUCGUCUAUCGUUUACAGCUAUAGUAUACCUGUUUUUCGUCUUUUUCUAAGCUUUUCCACUCGGUGAAAAAUUUGGUAUUUUUUUCUAUUACCACACACGCACCGACCUCGUUGUCAGUUUUGUUCUGCUUCCACAUUGAAUAUGCUGUCACUUUUCAGUUCCUCUUGGCUACAAUUGUUGCAGUUCUUGUCCACAGUUCACCAUCAGCCGUAUAUGUCCAUUCAUCCAUUUUGUUUACAUUUUCUUUUCGUUUUUUUUUCUUUUCGUUUUUUUUC